AAAAAUUGAUGGGAAAUUGAUGCGAAAACCGUGCUCCUUAGAUAGCCAAUUACUUAAUGUCAACUAAGUCAAUCAGUUCUCUAGUCACCUCAAGCAAGAAUUUUGGUUCUUGAUGAAGCCACUACUUCAGUUGAUUCAACUACAGAUAAUCCUAUCCAGAAGAUCAUCUGAACAGAGUUUAGGGACUACACUGUGUGCACUAUUGCUCAUCGUAUCCCAACUGUUAUUGACAGCGAUCUAGUUCUGGUCCCCAGUGAUGGUGCAUACACUAAUACUUCCCAUUUCUUCUUCCAUUUAGUGGACAUAAGUGUUGCUGCAAUCUGUAGAACUUUUUCCUAAGAAUUUUAGUUUAAUCUGCAUUUGGUAAUGUUAUUAAUUUUCACGGGUAUCCAAAAAAUUUUCAUUUCUUUUUCUUUUAAACUUUUGACAAGAUAAAUUAAAUUAGUAAAAGGCUCUAGAAGAGAAAGCUGCCCUUGUAGGUCUGUAGGAACAAUAUCAACACCCACAACUCUUUAGAUAUCUUGCGAUGAAUAAUUCCUGACUCUGCAUCUUGUUUUUCACUAGUAACACCAACUAAGCACAAUGUGUUUGCAUUGAAUCAAAUUUUCCAAGAUUCAUCAAAUUUUUUUGAUGUUCUUGAAAUGAUGGAAACUCAAGGAGAUUAUGGUAUACAAGAGUAUAUAUCUAAGCUUGAUUCUCAGGAUAUGCAGGUGAAUAUGUAUCUUGAUUAAGAGUUAACUUUUAGAAUGUAAAUAUGGGUUUGAGAGAGUUGUUGGUCUUCGACGUUAAAGUCUUAGGUAUGAUAUUUUACACUGUAAAAAUAUUAGAGAGUUUUGCUUCUCAUUUCUCAACUUGAGUAUGAUGGUAUGGCAAGUAUUAUCUAAAAAUGAUUCACUCUCUUUGGCUCACAGUAAUUGCUGGAAGCUGAAUGAAGGCUGUUGCUUCUUGAUCUUCUUGUGACCUGUCCCAUCAAAUUUAUUAACAUAAUGUUUCUACAACUCCAAGGACCAGUAAGAUGCUUGUUAUUUGUGAAUAAGUUGACUAUUUCAGAUUUGUUGGAAGCUUUGUCAGUUCUGGUGGAUCAUGCUAGCGAUAUCAUAAAGAGAUUCGUGAGAGGUGCCACAUAAACAUUGGGACUCAUGGAUUCAUUUUUUCGCUGCACACGGCUGUGGGGGUUUGAGAUGUAGUCAUGUUGUUACAGGAUAUAAGCAGGAUUCCCUUGAUUCACUGGAGGGAUUUCUUGUUUGAGUUUCCAGAUGUAGUUAGGGUUAUGUAUUACUAGGAGGACAUAGCUGGUGAGAGUAGGUUGCAUCUCAUUGUUAGAGAUGUCGAUGAUGAUGCAAGCUAGGCAUUGCAAUAAGUAAAACAUAUAUACAUUUUUUCAUUUCACUUGGGAAUGAUACAUGCUCUCUUAAUAUAGUGGAAGUCCAAUCACUCUCUCAUUACUUUUUUUGAAUAAGCAGUGUCUCAUUACUUGAAAGGAAGUCCUUGAAAUUAAACACACAUUAUAAAUUGAAAUUUUUAACUUAAAUGUAAAAUUAGUUUCAGAUUUUUACA